UUAGUCUUUUAAUUGAAGACUUGUAUGAAUGAUUUGAUGAAAUAUAAACUGUCUCUAAUUUAUAUUUAGAAAUUAAUUUUUUAGUUAAAAAGCUAAAAUUUAUUUAAAAGACGAGAAGACCCUAUAGAGUUUAAUAAUUUGAUAUUUAGAAUAUUUAUAUAAAAUUUUAAUAUAAUAUUUAUUAAUUUAUUUUGUUGGGGUGAUAAAAAAAUAAAAAAAACUUUUUUUUUUAUUAUCAUAAAUAAGUGAGUAAAUGAUCCAAAUUAAUGAUUAUAAGAAAAAAUUACCUUAGGGAUAACAGCGUAAUAUUUUUUUUUAGUACAAAUAAAAAAAAAAGUUUGCGACCUCGAUGUUGGAUUAAGAUAAAAUUUAAAUGCAAAAGUUAAAAAUUUUGAUCUGUUCGAUCAUUAAAAUCUUACAUGAUCUGAGUUCA
rnacentral:rRNA from 1 species